CAGCAGCCGCGGUAAUACAGAGGGUGCGAGCGUUAAUCGGAUUUACUGGGCGUAAAGCGUGCGUAGGUGGUGGUUUAAGUCCGUUGUGAAAGCCCUGGGCUCAACCUGGGAAUUGCAGUGGAUACUGGGUCACUAGAGUGUGGUAGAGGAUAGUGGAAUUUCCGGUGUAGCAGUGAAAUGCGUAGAGAUCGGAAGGAACAUCUGUGGCGAAGGCGACUAUCUGGGCCAACACUGACACUGAGGCACGAAAGCGUGGGGAGCAAACAGGAUUAGAUACCCGUGUAGUCCCUGUCUCUUAUAC
rnacentral:rRNA from 1 species